rnacentral:rRNA from 1 species
AUGCAUUUGCCUGACUAUAUUGAUCCUGCCCAGCAAGCUUUUAUUAAAGGUAGAUGCAUUAGUAACAAUAUCAUUACUGUACAAGAGGUCACUCAUUCUUUUGCUCUCAAAUCUUGGAAACAUCAAGCUUUCUUGCUGAAAAUUGACCUUGUGAAAGCGUUCGAUUGUCUCGAAUGGAAUUUCAUGGUCUCUGCUCUUUCUCGUAAGAGGCUGCAUGAUCAUUUUGUGAAUUUGAUUUUUGCGUGCAUAUCGUCUCAUGUGUUCUCUGUAAUUAUUAAUGGUCAACUUUUUGCGAAUUUUCGCAGCAUAAGGGGCAUCAGACAGGGUUGCCCGUUGUCUCCGUAUCUCUUUGUUCUUGCGAUCAAUGAGAUCUCUUUGGCUUUGCAGGAGGCCAUGGCCCAAAACCGUCUUACAGGUAUCUCUUUUGGUCCAACUUGUCCUCCCAUACAUUCCAUGCUUUUUGCUGAUGACUUGCUUAUGUGUGGGAAUGCUUCUCCCCAUGAAGCUAACCAGAUGACCAAUCUCAUAAAUCAUUUCUGCCAGUCUUCAGGGCAAACUCCUAAUUGGGACAAAUCCUUUAUCAUGUUUAGUGCUAAUGUUAGGCAACAAAUUUUUGAUCACAUUAGACAGAUUUUUCGUGUCCCUCUUAUCAGCCAUACCUGCACUCAUUUGGGUCAUCUUUAG